GAUGAACGCUGGCGGCGUGCCUAAUACAUGCAAGUAGAACGCUGAAGGAGGAGCUUGCUCUUCUGGAUGAGUUGCGAACGGGUGAGUAACGCGUAGGUAACCUGCCUGGUAGCGGGGGAUAACUAUUGGAAACGAUAGCUAAUACCGCAUGACAACAGUUAUUGCAUGAUAACUGUUUAAAAGGGGCAACUGCUCCACUACCAGAUAGACCUGCGUUGUAUUAGCUAGUUGGUGAGGUAACGGCUCACCAAGGCGACGAUACAUAGCCGACCUGAGAGGGUGAUCGGCAACACUGGGACUGAGACACGGCCCAGACUCCUACGGGAGGCAGCAGUAGGGAAUCUUCGGCAAUGGACGGAAGUCUGACCGAGCAACGCCGCGUGAGUGAAGAAGGUUUUCGGAUCGUAAAGCUCUGUUGUAAGAGAAGAACGAGUGUGAGAGUGGAAAGUUCACACUGUGACGGUAUCUUACCAGAAAGGGACGGCUAACUACAUG
rnacentral:rRNA from 1 species